UUUUUUUUUUUUUUUUUUUUGUUGUCUUUUUGCGAGAUUGGAGGGGAGACGAAGGAUGAUGAGGGAGGAAACGCAAAAGAACGAGAAGGAAGGGAAGGGGAAAGAGAUGGGUUUGGUUGGUUUUGAAAGAGAAAAGGGAAAAAAAAAAAAGAUGAGAAGGUCCUCCCUUUUGUUCUUUCUUUUCUCUUUU
rnacentral:ribozyme from 14 species